rnacentral:rRNA from 1 species
GAUGAACGCUAGCGGCAGGCUUAACACAUGCAAGUCGAGGGGUAUGCUUCUUCGGAAGCAGAGACCGGCGCACGGGUGCGUAACGCGUAUGCAAUCUACCUUUUACAGAGGGAUAGCCCAGAGAAAUUUGGAUUAAUACCUCAUAGUAUUAUAGAAUGGCAUCAUUUAUAAUUAAAGUCACAACGGUAAAGAUGAGCAUGCGUCCCAUUAGCUAGUUGGAAGGUAACGGCUUACCAAGGCUACGAUGGGUAGGGGUCCUGAGAGGGAGAUCCCCA